rnacentral:rRNA from 1 species
UACGUAGGUGGCAAGCGUUGUCCGGAAUUAUUGGGCGUAAAGCGCGCGCAGGCGGUCCUUUAAGUCAGCUGUGAAAUCUCCGAGCUUAACUCGGAACUGUCAGCUGAUACUGAUCUGCUAGAGUGCGGAAGGGGCAAUCGGAAUUCUUGGUGUAGCGGUGAAAUGCGUAGAUAUCAAGAGGAACACCUGAGGUGAAGACGGGUUGCUGGGCCGACACUGACGCUGAGUGCGCGAAAGCCAGGGGAGCAAACAGG